rnacentral:rRNA from 1 species
AGAGUUUGAUCCUGGCUCAGGAUGAACGCUAGCUACAGGCUUAACACAUGCAAGUCGAGGGGAAACGACAUCGAAAGCUUGCUUUUGAUGGGCGUUGACCGGCGCACGGGUGAGUAACGCGUAUCCAACCUGCUCACCACUUGGGGAUAACCUUGCGAAAGUAAGACUAAUACCCAAUGACGUCUCUAGAAGACAUCUGAAGGAGAUUAAAGAUUUAUCGGUGAUGGAUGGGGAUGCGUCUGAUUAGCUUGUUGGCGGGGUAACGCCACAAGGCGACGAUCAGUAGGGGUUCUGAGAGGAAGGUCCCCCANAUUGGAACUGAGACACGGUCCAAACUCCUACGGGAGGCA